AUUGAACGCUGGCGGUAUGCUUAACACAUGCAAGUCGAACGGUAGCAGCUCUUCGGAGGCUGACGAGUGGCGGACGGGUGAGUAACGCGUAGGAAUCUGCCUGUUAGUGGGGGACAACUUAGGGAAACUUAAGCUAAUACCGCAUACGCCCUACGGGGGAAAGGAGGGGAUCUUCGGACCUUUCGCUAACAGAUGAGCCUGCGUAGGAUUAGCUAGUUGGUAGGGUAAAAGCCUACCAAGGCGACGAUCCUUAGCUGGUCUGAGAGGAUGAUCAGCCACACUGGGACUGAGACACGGCCCAGACUCCUACGGGAGGCAGCAGUGGGGAAUAUUGGACAAUGGGCGCAAGCCUGAUCCAGCAAUGCCGCGUGAGUGAUGAAGGCCUUAGGGUCGUAAAGCUCUUUUACCAGGGAUGAUAAUGACAGUACCUGGAGAAUAAGCUCCGGCUAACUCCGUG
rnacentral:rRNA from 1 species